rnacentral:rRNA from 1 species
UACGAAGGGUGCAAGCGUUGUUCGGAAUCAUUGGGCGUAAAGCGCGCGCAGGCGGAUCAGCAAGUCAGGUGUGAAAUCUCGAGGCUCAACCUCGAAACUGCGCCUGAAACUGCUAGUCUAGAAUGUCGGAGGGGGCAGGGGAAUUUCACGUGUAGGGGUAAAAUCCGUAGAGAUGUGAAGGAACACCGGGGGCGAAGGCGCCUGCCUGGACGACUAUUGACGCUGAGGCGCGAAAGCGUGGGGAGCAAACAGGAUUAGAAACCCCCGUAGUCC